AACGCGAAGAACCUUACCUGGGCUCGAACGGCUGAGGAAAUCUGGUGGAAACACUGGCUCUCCCCUUAAAAGGACCUUAGUCGAGGUGCUGCAUGGCUGUCGUCAGCUCGUGUCGUGAGAUGUUGGGUUAAGUCCCGCAACGAGCGCAACCCUUGUCCUGUGUUGCUAAUCCGCAAGGAUGCACUCUCAGGAGACCGCCAGCGAUAAGUUGGAGGAAGGUGGGGAUGACGUCAAGUCAUCAUGGCCUUUAUGUCCAGGGCUACACACGUGCUACAAUGGACGGUACAAAGCGCUGCAAACCCGCGAGGGGGAGCUAAUCGCAAAAAACCGUUCUCAGUUCGGAUUGCAGGCUGCAACUCGCCUGCAUGAAGCUGGAAUCGCUAGUAAUGGCAUAUCAGAACGAUGCCGUGAAUACGUUCCCGGGCCUUGUACACACCGAUAGC
rnacentral:rRNA from 1 species